rnacentral:rRNA from 1 species
UAGGGAAUCUUCGGCAAUGGACGAAAGUCUGACCGAGCAACGCCGCGUGAGUGAAGAAGGUUUUCGGAUCGUAAAACUCUGUUGUUAGAGAAGAACAAGGACGUUAGUAACUGAACGUCCCCUGACGGUAUCUAACCAGAAAGCCACGGCUAACUACGUGCCAGCAGCCGCGGUAAUACGUAGGUGGCAAGCGUUGUCCGGAUUUAUUGGGCGUAAAGCGAGCGCAGGCGGUUUCUUAAGUCUGAUGUGAAAGACCCCGGCUCAACCGGGGAGGGUCAUUGGAAACUGGGAGACUUGAGUGCAGAAGAGGAGAGUGGAAUUCCAUGUGUAGCGGUGAAAUGCGUAGAUAUAUGGAGGAACACCAGUGGCGAAGGCGGCUCUGUGGUCUGUAACUGACGCUGAGGCUCGAAAGCGUGGGGAGCAAACAGG